rnacentral:rRNA from 1 species
UGAGGAAUAUUGGUCAAUGGGCGGGAGCCUGAACCAGCCAAGCCGCGUGAGGGAAGAAGGCCCUAUGGGUCGUAAACCUCUUUUGUCAGGGAACUAAAGCGAGUAUGUAUACUGGUCUGAGUGUACCUGAAGAAAAAGCGUCGGCUAACUCCGUGCCAGCAGCCGCGGUAAUACGGAGGAUGCGAGCGUUAUCCGGAUUUAUUGGGUUUAAACGGGUGCGUAGGCGGCGGUGCAAGUCAGCGGUAAAAGCCCGGGGCCUCAACCCCGGCGAGCCGUUGAAACUGCAGUGCUAGAGAAGGCGAGAGGUACGCGGAAUGCGCAGUGUAGCGGUGAAAUGCUUAGAUAUUGCGCAGAACUCCGAUUGCGAAGGCAGCGUACUGGCGCCUGACUGGCGCUGAGGCACGAAAGCGUGGGGAUCGAGCAGGAUUAGAUACC